rnacentral:rRNA from 1 species
CAGCCGCCGCGGGAAUACGUAGGGUGCAAGCGUUAAUCGGAAUUACUGGGCGUAAAGCGUGCGCAGGCGGUUAUAUAAGUCAGAUGUGAAAUCCCCGGGCUCAACCUGGGAACUGCAUUUGAGACUGUAUGGCUAGAGUGUGUCAGAGGGGGGUAGAAUUCCACGUGCAGCAGUGAAAUGCGUAGAUAUGUGGAGGAAUACCGAUGGCGAAGGCAGCCCCCUGGGAUAACACUGACGCUCAUGCACGAAAGCGUGGGGAGCAAACAGGAUUAGAUACCCGAGUAGUCCCUGUCUCUUAUAC